CUGCUGCCUUCCGUAGGAGUUUGGACCGUGUCUCAGUUCCAAUGUGGGGGACCUUCCUCUCAGAACCCCUACGCAUCGUCGGCUUGGUGGGCCGUUGCCCCACCAACUACCUAAUGCGCCGCAUGCCCAUCCGUGACCGGGGUCGCCCCUUUGGCCGGCAGGGGAUGUCCCCUCCUGGCAUUAUGUUGUAUUAGGCGGGAUUUCUCCCGGUUAUCCAUCUGUCACGGCCAGGUUGCAUACGUGUUACUCACCCGUGCGCCGGUCGCCGGCGG
rnacentral:rRNA from 1 species